CACCGUACAAGGAAACGAGGCGGUGCUGAACACGCAGAAGUCAGCAGAGGUCACAGUAGGGAUAUGGACAUGGAAACAUGGACAUGCUAACCGAAGGAC
rfam:Butyrivibrio proteoclasticus B316 chromosome 1, complete sequence.